rnacentral:rRNA from 1 species
UACGAAGGGAGCGAGCGUUGUUCGGAAUCACUGGGCUUAAAGCGUGCGUAGGUGGAUUGGCAAGUCAGGAGUGAAAUCCCAGGGCUUAACCCUGGAACUGCUCUUGAGACUGCCUGUCUGGAAUUCGGAAGAGGUUGGUGGAACUCCCAAGUGUAGAGGUGAAAUUCGCAGAUAUUGGGAAGAACACCGGUGGCGAAGGCGACCAAGCUGGUCCGACAUUGACGACUGAGGCACGAAAGCGUGGGUAGCAAACAGG